rnacentral:rRNA from 1 species
AUUGAACGCUGGCGGCAGGCCUAACACAUGCAAGUCGAACGAGUGGCGGACGGGUGAGUAAUGUCUGGGAAACUGCCCGAUGGAGGGGGAUAACUACUGGAAACGGUAGCUAAUACCGCAUACCAUCGGAUGUGCCCAGAUGGGAUUAGCUAGUAGGUGGGGUAACGGCUCACCUAGGCGACGAUCCCUAGCUGGUCUGAGAGGAUGACAGGCCACACGGGAACUGAGACACGGUCCAGCCUCUGACGGGGGGCAGCAGUGGGGAAUAUUGCAAAAGGGGCGCAAGCCGGAUGCAGCCAUGCCGCGUGGAUGAAGAAGGCCUUCGGGUUGUAAAGUACUUUCAGCGGGGAGGCGUUACCCGCAGAAGAAGCACCGGCUAACUCCGUGCCAGCAGCCGCGUAAUAC